rnacentral:misc_RNA from 1 species
AAAGUCGUAACAAGGUUUCCGUAGGUGAACCUGCGGAAGGAUCAUUAAACGUUAAUAAUGUGUAUUCUCACGAGUAUAUCAUUCAUUAUAAACCCACCUGUGUAUCUCACCCGUUGCUUCCGUGAGCGGCGAGGCGACCUCGGUCGCCCCCCAGGUGCUCACGGGAGGUCUACAUCAAACCAUUGCAUUUUCCAUGUCAUCUGUCUGAUCUUGUUUACAACAAAUGUUAAAACUUUCAACAACGGAUCUCUUGGUUCUC